ensembl:lncRNA
AAUCUGUCAGUGGAGCUUCAACUCAAAUAAGGAAAAGAUAGUUUCAUUGAAUUUUGAAAAAUUUGAUUAUGAAGCCAUAAUAUGUGGUAACGAGGCAGUUACAGUUGGGUGGGAGAUUUGAAGUGCCAAUGAAAAGCCCCUACAGUGAAACGCUACACUAGUAGCUGACAAAAUGACUAAUGGCACUACCAAAGUGCCCUUGUUUUGAUAUUUAAUAGCCCCAUACCCCCCAAUGUGAGCAAAAGCACAUGACAAGGCUUAACCAGGGUUGUGACAGGCUUAGCUUUCUGGUUACUGUGAGGAGUGACAUGCUGAUGGGGAAAAUGAGUUUUCCAAAGCUUUGCGAGAGUAGCCACGGUUUACCGAUGUCACCAGAGCAGGUCUCAGGCACAUAUGCACACAUACAAAGACCCACCAGCAUCACCUGCCUGGAGACAGGGUGGAUUACGGGGAAUUAGGGGGCACCGUGUGACUUAGCACUGAAACUGGGUGUCCUAUUGUUGUCGGUGCAGGAUCUAAAAUUCUGCCAGAACACAUUGACACAUUCUUACAAUAGAAAACACAAAAAUGACUGAGGGGUCACCGACACGAACACAUGCGUAAGGUAAAGACACAGUUGUGGCUGCAUGCAUGUGCUGACACAUGUACGCAGUGCCUGCUACACACACACACAUAUAUGGACAUGAUCCCUACACUGUAAGUGUGUCCCCCUACCCAACAGUAGCAACUGUAACAAUGAAAAGGCUUAGCGUUGCAACAGUAGCCCGCCUGUAGAUUGACAUACGAAACCGCUGUUGGUACAGUGGGACCACUCACAGCCUCGGGGCUCGAUCAUUUUUCUUUUUUAUCCAACACUAACGUGCAGCUGUGCACUGUUAUAAUUAACAGUGCGGCCUUUACAUGAGAUGUCAAUCUGUUUUCGUGCUUUUAACGGCGUGCAUAUCCAGCUGAUGUGGGCUGUGAUGUGGCGUCGUGGACCGAGGAUACCAUUUGAUAUGAAGAACCUGUUUGAUUCUCGUGCUUCAAGAUAAAUCUUACAGUUUAACUUGCAACUUAACCCAACAUAUUUGUCACAGAGAUUACUCAGUGCUAUGUGGUAAGUAAAGGACUUUCGUUCCAUACUUACAGGUUGCCAUCUAUGGCAAUGAGCCCUAAACCCCUUUUCCAAAGAUUGUAUUUUGCAUUAACUUCUGUAUAUAAUAUCUCAUAACUCUAUAUCUAUAAAGUAUAUAGAGUUCCAUAUUUUAUUUAUUAUUAUAAUAAGUUUGACUCAUCUAACAAUUACUGGCAUUUUUCAAUUGCUGAUGUGGUUGUAUUAGAAAUAUUAAAUCAUUAGCGUAGCUUUUUAGGCACCUCUUGCGACAUGCACACAUCUCACAGUUUUAAAACACACAUGUCCUUCGGGUAGGACAGAAGAGACACUAUGGCCUCGGCAUACUGUGAAGAAGUCAGCUGUAAAUGCACCGCUGCUGCGUUUUGAACACACACACACACACAGCGUGCAUGCUGGUACAAAGACAGAAAAACAAUGGCAAGACAAACACAAUGAAUAAUGUAUUUAAAAGGGCCCAGAACACUUCAUUCACGCGCAAACAUGCACACGUGCACACACACACCUACACACAAACACACUCUCAUACAGUACACCGUAUCAUGCAUAUCUCUCACACCCUCUGCCAGUUGUCAGUUAUUGCCUUUGAGCACGAGGCCUGAGGGACUAGAUUAAAUCCUUCUGGAGACAGGAUGACGGGCACAGAGGCCUCCACACACUGAACACACACUCACAGACACACUCAUGGAAUGACGCCAUCUUAUGUUCCAACUAUCUCUGCAUGAUUAAACUCACUGUUCUUUGCCUGGAUCUUUUGACAGAACUUUUUAUCCUUCAAUUAAUUACUUCUGACUUUAAUAUCUCCUUAUUACAUAUGAAAUUCUGUUUUUUUUAACACAAACAUUUGAACAGCUCCAAAGCCUGUUGAAUGUUGAAACUUUUUGCAGACUGUUGCUCAAACCACGUAGGAAAUUAAACGACCCGCCAGUAAAUAUUUUCUUGUGAUUGCCUGCAAAUAGUGAGAGCCUCGUAAACAUUUCAUUCCAUUUUCCUCUGGGGCAAUAUAACCAAAUGGCUGAAUUAUUCUUUAUCUAUGUAAUAAAGCAGAUCAAAAGUUAGUGUCUCAGUGUUGUAUGCUGCUAGUCUUGACAAACAUAUUUGAUUACCUAAUUAAUACAAUAUUGACUAUGCAAUUUGUGUAUUUCUUUCCAACCUCUUACAUUGCAAUAUAUCUUUAUGGGCCAAUGUGGCAGAAGUAUUGCCAGGUGAUUUGAGUAGCUGAAUACUUGAAAUUGCCUUGUUGUGAUUUGCGCAGUUCCUCGACUGUCUAAUGACAAAGUCUUCGCCGCAGAUGAGUUGCAGGCGGAUUUUUCCAGGCAUCACAAAGCGAUAGCAGCUGUAAUCAACCUCAGAGUUUCCAAACCUGAAUAAAUGACAGUUUAUUUUACCAGAAGACGGUGAUAAGAUGGUUACGUUUUCUGCCGCUGCGCUUCCACAUUUUUUUGCUCCUUUGUUGGAACUCGAAUGGCGACGAGAACCGUCUUCCUGUGAGCGUUCCUAGCAGCUGUAAUAAUACUUCAGCGACUGAAUUAGCAAAGGUUUACGGCCCAGUUCCUGCAGCGAAAUGGGGCCAGUUACUGUUACUGCACGGCUGUGUGGGUCAAACCUGACUAAAUGAGUACAAUGGAUGUUUAGAAAGGAACUAAAUGCUCACGUAAUGGCAAAAGUGACUGUGUGCACAUGAUAUUGGUUGCCAUCCUUUGUUUCACUUUAAACAGCUGAAAGGAACUAUUCAUCCCCACUGCAUGGUUGUUGUGGAACCAAGGAAGCCUUUUAUUGACAGAUGACAUCAUUAUGGCUGCCCCCCCACCCACGCCCGCCCGCCCUCUCUUCACUCAGAUGAAAAUUAUGCUGUGGACUGAUUGCAGCAACAUCUUAAAAUCCUUCACUUUCUCACCCAAUAAGCAUCGGCUAAACUGCUCCCAGAAGAGACACUCAUGUGCUGAUACAUUUACGGCACUUGUGGUAAUAGUUUGAACAUUCAGACUCUAGUUUCUGUGGAAACCUUUGGCACUCUUGUGCCCUUGGAUUUGGAAUCUGUAUGUGUGGCUCUGCACUUAUAGUGUUUUUUAUGUUUUUUGAUGAACAGGCAAUGCGGGUGCGGUCCAAGCUCAAGGGCAUAGCCCAUCUAUCUGCCAUCUGUCAGCGACUUUUCAUCCGGCUUUAGUAAUUACAGAAGCGUAAAUAAGGCCAGGAGACAGGAGUUUGACAGCUGUAUAAGAUCUAUGAGAUCUGUGUGUGUGUAUUUUUGUGUGUCCCUGGUAAGCAAAAAAAACAAAAACAUUUUAGGACUUGAAGCUUUUCUCUCAGAAUGUGAGCAGGGCUUUUAUAGGCCUCCUUGGAAGUAACUAAGGGUCUCUAACUUUGUAUUCCUCAACAUGUUUACUGGGUGGUGACCUCCGCUGCAGGCUGAGAGUCAGAUGGGUGAGACGGAUAUUGUAUCAAUGAGUACGACACAGAAGCAUUAAGAGACAGGGUUUCACCAAAUGAAUGUAUUUGUGUCUGAACCAUCUUCUGGUGGAUUCAUUUCAUGUAACAUCACAGGCAAUGUCUGCAAAACCCCAAAAAAUGAGCCAGCCAUUGAAUAAAGAAAAGGGUGGUUUUAAAUAGUGGUCUGAAUCUGACCAGAUAACCUAUAGGGGGGGAAAAAACGUGGAAGCAAUAACAAAAAGGACUAUAAACCAGUUUGGGGAGAUCAGGGAAACCGACAUUUCACUCUGAGGCUCAGCAGGGUAAAACACCUUAAAUCUUCUAUCCUGCACUCUCCAUUUUAAACUGCAGAAAGAUUCUUUAUCUUUAUGUGUCUGCAGUAGUAAAAGAUUAAAGUUGUCUGCAUGCAGUGCAGGACAACUCUAGGUGGUCUGGCUUCACAGACCACACAGACAUUAAAGAACACACACACUCCUUCCUUGGAGAAAAAAAAAAGUAGGUGCUUUGUUCAUUAUAUUGAUUGUUCCACAGCAGUGUGGGUCUUUAAAUCUAAAAUUAAAUCGUCCAUGGAUCUUUUCAGAUGAACUGCGUAAUGUCUACGAUCUAAUCUUUAGUCUAGUGAUUCUAAUGAUGGUCACCGUACUUAACAUUUCGCCGUGGGACGAUUGAACAAGACUCAAGUGUUCCCUGGGGCCAAGCAUAACACCGUGAUGCACGCAUAUCUUUGUGCAUCACUUUUUCAUUCGCGAUGGAUGGGCUGCCCGCAGCCGUCUUGAUGAAUCCAUUUUGCACUUCGGGUGGAUCCUUCAUCUUUAGCUUAUGAUGAAACAACCUGAGCCGCUUUCAGAGGCCAUAAUAAACAUGC